rnacentral:rRNA from 1 species
UGCGCAGCAGUCGGGAAUAUUGCACAAUGGACGAAAGUCUGAUGCAGCAACGCCGCGUGGAGGAUGACACAUUUCGGUGCGUAAACUCCUUUUAUAUAGGAAGAUAAUGACGGUACUAUAUGAAUAAGCACCGGCUAACUCCGUGCCAGCAGCCGCGGUAAUACGGAGGGUGCAAGCGUUACUCGGAAUCACUGGGCGUAAAGAGCGUGUAGGCGGGUAUAUAAGUCAGAAGUGAAAUCCAAUAGCUUAACUAUUGAACUGCUUUUGAAACUGUGUACCUAGAAUGUGGGAGAGGUAGAUGGAAUUUCUGGUGUAGGGGUAAAAUCCGUAGAGAUCAGAAGGAAUACCGAUUGCGAAGGCGAUCUACUGGAACAUUAUUGACGCUGAGACGCGAAAGCGUGGGGAGCAAACAGGAUUAGAAACCCUAGUAGUCCG